ACCUUCAUCCGUAUCCAAUGAUAGUAUUGUCUAAGAUUAUGAUACAUCUUGGUCACUCCAGGAUGGAUCGAAAAUCUAGACUUUUGAGCUUCUCUAAGGAUCUCAUCCUUUAAACUCUUAUCAUUGGGUAUGCUGAUCCGACCAUGAACUAAGAUCGUAUGCGAUUUGAUACUCAGUCAGGUCAUUUCGAGCAACCGUCUUUAGGUUCUCGUCAUGAUCUUGGGCCGCCCGGAUCCGGGCAAGUAGGUCGGCUUUAUCCACCGCCUCCAAACCCCGUGGUCCGUCCGUCCCGUUCAAAGCAUUUAAACGAACGAAACGUCCCACCUCAUCCGGUUCGUUCGUCCCGCUAUCAA
rnacentral:lncRNA from 1 species